UACUGCAUUUUUUCUUACACAUGUGUUUUUCUUUUUUUGAAAACUUUGCUUUGGUAGGGGUCGGUAUGGGGCCUGCCAGAGAUUAAACUCAACCAAAUUUUAUUUAAUGUCAACCGAUUAUUUAAUAGUCAAAACUUUCAACAACGGAUCUCUUGGUUCUCGCAUCGAUGAAGAACGCAGCGAAAUGCGAUAAGUAAUAUGAAUUGCAGAUAUUCGUGAAUCAUCGAAUCUUUGAACGCACAUUGCGCCCUUUGGUAUUCCAAAGGGCAUGCCUGUUUGAGCGUCAUUUCUCCCUCAAACCCUCGGGUUUGGUGUUGAGCGAUACGCUGGGUUUGCUUGAAAGAAAGGCGGAGUAUAAACUAAUGGAUAGGUUUUUUCCACUCAUUGGUACAAACUCCAAAACUUCUUCCAAAUUCGACCUCAAAUCAGGUAGGACUACCCGCUGAACUUAAGCAUAUCAAUAAGCGGAGG
rnacentral:rRNA from 1 species